UACGUAGGGUGCAAGCGUUGUCCGGAAUUAUUGGGCGUAAAGAGCUCGUAGGCGGUCUGUCGCGUCUGCUGUGAAAACUCAGGGCUUAACCCUGAGCUUGCAGUGGGUACGGGCAGACUAGAGUGCGGUAGGGGAGACUGGAAUUCCUGGUGUAGCGGUGAAAUGCGCAGAUAUCAGGAGGAACACCGGUGGCGAAGGCGGGUCUCUGGGCCGUAACUGACGCUGAGGCACGAAGGCCAGGGGAGCAAACAGG
rnacentral:rRNA from 1 species